rnacentral:rRNA from 1 species
GACGAACGCUGGCGGCGUGCUUAACACAUGCAAGUCGAACGGAAAGGCCCUGCUUUUGUGGGGUGCUCGAGUGGCGAACGGGUGAGUAACACGUGAGUAACCUGCCCUUGACUUUGGGAUAACUUCAGGAAACUGGGGCUAAUACCGGAUAGGAGCUCCUGCUGCAUGGUGGGGGUUGGAAAGUUUCGGCGGUUGGGGAUGGACUCGCGGCUUAUCAGCUUGUUGGUGGGGUAGUGGCUUACCAAGGCUUUGACGGGUAGCCGGCCUGAGAGGGUGACCGGCCACAUUGGGACUGAGAUACGGCCCAGACUCCUACGGGAGGCAGCAGUGGGGAAUAUUGCACAAUGGGCGGAAGCCUGAUGCAGCAACGCCGCGUGCGGGAUGACGGCCUUCGGGUUGUAAACCGCUUUCGCCUGUGACGAAGCGUGAGUGACGGUAAUGGGUAAAGAAGCACCGGCUAACUACGUGCCAGCAGCCGCGGUGAUACGUAGGGUGCGAGCGUUGUCCGGAUUUAUUGGGCGUAAAGGGCUCGUAGGUGGUUGAUCGCGUCGGAAGUGUAAUCUUGGGGCUUAACCCUGAGCGUGCUUUCGAUACGGGUUGACUUGAGGAAGGUAGGGGAGAAUGGAAUUCCUAGUGGAGCGGUGGAAUGCGCAGAUAUCAGGAGGAACACCAGUGGCGAAGGCGGUUCUCUGGGCCUUUCCUGACGCUGAGGAGCGAGAGCGUGGGGAGCGAACAGGCUUAGAUACCCUGGUAGUCCACGCUGUAAACGGUGGGUACUAGGUGUGGGGUCCAUUCCACGGGUUCCGUGCCGUAGCUAACGCUUUAAGUACCCCGCCUGGGGAGUACGGCCGCAAGGCUAAAACUCAAAAGAAUUGACGGGGCCCCGCACAAGCGGCGGAGCAUGCGGAUUAAUUCGAUGCAACGCGUAGAACCUUACCUGGGUUUGACAUGGAUCGGGAGUGCUCAGAGAUGGGUGUGCCUCUUUUGGGGUCGGUUCACAGGUGGUGCAUGGCUGUCGUCAGCUCGUGUCGUGAGAUGUUGGGUUAAGUCCCGCAACGAGCGCAACCCUUGUUCACUGUUGCCAGCACGUUAUGGUGGGGACUCAGUGGAGACCGCCGGGGUCAACUCGGAGGAAGGUGGGGAUGACGUCAAGUCAUCAUGCCCCUUAUGUCCAGGGCUUCACGCAUGCUACAAUGGCUGGUACAGAGAGUGGCGAGCCUGUGAGGGUGAGCGAAUCUCGGAAAGCCGGUCUCAGUUCGGAUUGGGGUCUGCAACUCGACCUCAUGAAGUCGGAGUCGCUAGUAAUCGCAGAUCAGCAACGCUGCGGUGAAUACGUUCCCGGGGCU